ACCACUUGUAGUGUAGUGGCAUCUUUCUCGGUAUUUAUCCAAGAGGUCAUGGGUUCAAUCCCAAUAGUGGGA